rnacentral:rRNA from 1 species
CCUACGGGUGGCUGCAGUGAGGAAUAUUGGUCAAUGGACGAGAGUCUGAACCAGCCAAGUCGCGUGAAGGAAGACGGUUCUAUGAAUUGUAAACUUCUUUUGUGCAGGAAUAAAGUGGGUUACGUGUAACCUUUUGUAUGUACUGUACGAAUAAGGAUCGGCUAACUCCGUGCCAGCAGCCGCGGUAAUACGGAGGAUCCGAGCGUUAUCCGGAUUUAUUGGGUUUAAAGGGUGCGUAGGUGGAUUGAUAAGUCAGCGGUGAAAGUUUGCAGCUUAACUGUAAAAUUGCCGUUGAAACUGUCGGUCUUGAGUGCAAAUGAGGUAGGCGGAAUGUGUUGUGUAGCGGUGAAAUGCUUAGAUAUAACACAGAACUCCGAUUGCGAAGGCAGCUUACUGGGAUGCAACUGACACUGAUGCACGAAAGCGUGGGUAUCAAACAGGAUUAGAUACCCCGGUAGUC